rnacentral:rRNA from 1 species
AGUGGCGAACGGGUGCGUAACACGUGAGCAACCUGCCUGGAAGUGGGGGAUAGCCCGGGGAAACUCGGAUUAAUACCGCGUGUGAUCCCGCAGGACAUCCUGUGGCGAUUAAAGGUGGCGCAAGCUGCCGCUUCUAGAUGGGCUCGCGGCCUAUCAGCUUGUUGGUGAGGUAAAGGCUCACCAAGGCUACGACGGGUAACUGGUCUGAGAGGAUGAUCAGUCACACUGGAACUGAGACACGGUCCAGACACCUACGGGUGGCAGCAGUCGAGAAUCAUUCGCAAUGGGCGAAAGCCUGACGGUGCGACGCCGCGUGGAGGAUGAAGGCCUUCGGGUUGUAAACUCCUGUCAUCAGAGAGUAAGGCUUCUGCGAGUAACUGCGCAGAGGAUUGAUAGUAUCUGAAGAGGAAGGGACGGCUAACUUCGUGCCAGCAGCCGCGGUAAUACGAAGGUCCCGAGCGUUGUUCGGAUUUACUGGGCGUAAAGCGUCUGUAGGCGGCGCGGCAAGUCAGAUGUGAAAGCCCGGGGCUCAACCCCGGAACUGCAUCCGAUACUGCCGUGCUGGAGGAUCGGAGGGGAGUCUGGAAUUCACGGUGUAGCAGUGAAAUGCGUAGAUAUCGUGAGGAACACUAGUGGCGAAGGCGAGACUCUGGACGAUUCCUGACGCUGAGAGACGAAGGCCAGGGGAGCACAAAGGAUUAGAUACCCUUGUAGUCCUGGCAGU